GCUCAGGUAGCCGAUCACAAGCUCAGCCCCGGGCAGACGCCCGACCCCCACCACCAGGGAAGGAUUGGAGGAGGCCAGCCGAGGAUCUACCAGCUCGGGGCCCCAGCGGCCACCCUCUGCAGCUCAAAGUCACCUUUGCUCUGACUCCUCUCCUUGGCUAGCUAGCCAGAGCCAGCCCAGAACUCCCUCCCCUCUGCUGGGCAGGACCCAGAAACCGGUCCCUACUGGGCAAUUAUUAAUCAGAUUCUUGGCAUUCCUCAGCCCCAGGUUGGCUGGAGAAGCAUGUUCCCCAGAGGAGCAGGGGUCCAGGACUGGCAUUUGGAUAUGCAGCUGAUGGGCAAGGUGGUGCUGUCGGCUGCUGCCCUGCUCCUGGUGACUGUGGCCUACAGGCUGUACAAGUCGAGACCUGCCCCAGCCCAGCAGUGGGGUGGGAAUGCCCAGGCAGAAGCCAAGGAGGAAGCAGAGGGCUCAGAGCAGCCUGCUGUCCAGGGGGCUUCUCCUGGGGCACUGCAGAGGGGGCCAAGACGCCGGAGGAGCAGCAAGGGGGCCGAAGUACCACAGGGCUGCAGCUGGGAGAAUCCAAGAGGCUCCUGCAUCCUGGUCACAGGGGCCACGUCUACAGACAGGAAGCUCCAGAGAAAAGUCUCCGGUGAGGAGUGGGGAGGGCAGGGCUCUGACUCUGAGCAGGUGCCUCCUUGCUGCCAUGGCCAGUUAGCCAGAACUGCUGUUGGCGGUAAUCCUGACCCUCCCCAUCGCCCCUGCUUGGGCAGUGAACCGAACAGCUUCCCGGCUGGACUCACUGCAGCAGCCCACGGCAGCUGUGCGUGUGGUGAGCCUGCUCCAUGGCAGGACAGCGAACCCCCUGAGCAGCCAGGGCCAGGGCAACUGGAACCUCCCCACUGUCACCACGUUGCUCCCUUGCAAGGCAGCCGUGAAAUGAACCAGAGCUGGGUCUUCACUCGUGUGAUGGGGGUCAGCAGAGAAGAGGCUGGGGCUUUCCAGGCUGAGUCCGAUGUUGACCUGACCCUGCGUCAGCCGGAAGGAGCCCCCAACGCCUCCUAUACCUUCUCGUCCAUAGCCCGUGUCCGAAUGGAGGAGAAUUUCAUACAGAAGGUGGAUGGGGUCGGGCCCAGGCUCAAGGGCAAGGUGUAUGACUACUACGUGGAAUCGACUUCUCAGACCCUCUUACAGGGCAGCUUGGCUCCCAGGACAGCAGUCCUGACUGAAGUUCCAUCCCUUAUGCCACCGCCAUCAUCCCAGGGAACAGGGGCAGCCUCGGGAGGCCAAGCCGGUGACACAAAGGGUGCCGCGGAAAGAGCCGCCUCCCGGCAGCCAGGGCCGUCAUCCUCCACCAGAGGCUUCAGCCGGAAGGAGAGCCUCCUGCAGAUAGCAGAGAACCCAGAGCUGCAGCUGCAGCCGGACGGUUCCCAGCUCCCUGCUCCCCACUGCCCAGACCUGGGCGGCGCCCUGCCUGGCUCAGGCAGAAGCAGCUGGGAGCCCCUUGUGCAGCUGGUGGCCGGGACCAAUUUCUUCCACUUCCCGCUCAACCCUGCUCCAGCCCCAAAGGUCCACCUGGAUCUGGGCAAUUGCUAUGAGGUGCUGACCUUGGCCAAGAGGCAGAACCUGGAGGCCCUGAAGGAGGCGGCCUACAAGGUGAUGAGUGACAACUACCUCCAGGUACUGCGCAGCCCGGACAUCCACGGGGGCCUGAGCGGGGCAGAGCGGGAGCUGAUCCUGCAGCGCCGGCUCCGGGGCCGCCAGUACCUGGUGGUGGCUGAUGUGUGCCCCAAAGAAGACUGCGGCGGCCUGUGUUGCUAUGACGACGAGCGGGACGCCUGGCACCCGCUGGCUCGCCUGCCCCCCGAGGCCGUGUCCCGGGGCUGUGCCAUCUGCAGCCUCUUCAAUUAUCUCUUCUUGGUGUCAGGCUGUCAGGGGCCCGGGCACCAGCCCUCCAGCCGCGUCUUCUGCUACAACCCACUCACGGGGAUAUGGAGCGAGGUGUGCCCGCUGAACCAGGCCCGGCCGCACUGCCGGCUGGUGGCCCUGGACGGGCACCUGUACGCCAUCGGCGGGGAGUGUCUGAACACGGUGGAGCGUUACGACCCCCGCCUGGACCGCUGGGACUUUGCCCCGCCGCUCCCCAACGACACGUUCGCCCUGGCGCACACGGCCACGGCGUGCGCCCGGGAGAUCUUCGUGACCGGCGGCUCGCUGCGCUUCCUGCUGCUCCGCUUCUCGGCGCAGGAGCAGCGCUGGUGGGCCGGCCCCACCGGGGGCAGCAGGGAGCGCACGGCCGAGAUGGUGGCGGUCAACGGCUUCCUCUACCGCUUCGACCUCCACCGCAGCCUGGGUAUCGGCGUGUACCGCUGCAGCGUCAGCACCCGGCUCUGGUACGAGUGCGCCACGUACCGGACGCCUUACCCGGACGCGUUCCAGUGCGCCGUGGUGGACAACCUCAUCUACUGCGUGGGGCGCCGGCGCACCCUCUGCUUCCUGGCAGACUCUGUCUCGCCCAGGUUUGUGCCCAAGGAGCUACAGAGCUUCCCGACCCCGCAGGGCACUCUCCUGCCCACCGUCCUGACCUUGCCCACCCCCGAUUUGCCUCAGACCAGAGUCUACAGUCCCUCAACUGGGCUCCUCAUGCAAAGCUGGGGGCCGUAGGCCUACACUGCCAGCCAUCCCUCUGGGGGCCAUUUCCAGACAAUCAGGCAGCCCAGGAAUGUGGUAUAAAGAGGGGAAUUCCAGUCCUUUCUCCUCCCCUGGCAAGGGGGAGAGGGGUCUUAGAUGAGUCUUAUCCUUCAUGGCUGCGGAGUCCCCACUGCAGACAAGGCGGCCAGGAGCUGGUGUUCCAAGGCAGAAGGCAUUCAUGCCUCCAGGGAUGAUCCCCCUUGCUUCAACUCUGAAUUCUUGGGGGGACCCCACCAACGUUUAGGGGGCAUAGCCUUAUUGCAUCACAAUUCUAGGAGUUAGUGGACCCCAGCAGCCCCUCAAGCUGGUUGUUCUGGAGAGGGGUUGGCUCUCUGAGCCACCAGUGCCCUUUCCUAGACAUCAGCACCUGGGCCCCGCCUCCAGGGUUCUCAGAAGCUCUGGGACACACAGGUGGGAAAGAUGGAGGCAGGUGCCUUGGGCAGGACCAGGGAAGAGCCCAGGAAGCCCCAGGGGGCCUGGCCAGAGGGAGUGUUGGUUUGAAAAGCAGAGCAACUGAAGCUGGGGCCGGCCUAGGGGACUCUUGCUUACGAGAACAUUUACCAAAACCCACCUUACUUUUCUCCUUAUUGGAAGAAAGAGAAACACUCAUUGUACCAAGCUGUCUUCUGGUGCAGGUCUGCUAAGGAUACACGGAAGUCUCAGCAAAGAUCUCUAGCCCUCUCCCUGUCUGGAAGCUGAGGCAGCCACCACCAGUCAACACUUCAGGUAACAGCAUCAUUUGCCCUCCAUGUGCCAGGUGCGGUCACCCAGUGUGACUCAUUCACAUUUUCAGGUCCAUGACCAAGCCGAGGAAUUAGAAGAUUCUAGCAAAGCAUCCAGAGACUGAAUCUCCUUUCACACUGGGUUUGAUAAACUCUGAAUGAAGGAGACUCCCAGCCUCAGGAGGGUACCGGUUCUUCCAGGAGGGAUGGGAGAGAGCCUGGCCCAGUGUAUUACCACAGCCCUUGUUCCAUCUCUGAGGGAGACGCAGACACAGCCGGGAAGGCAGUGAUGCUCUUGGUCCCAGCCAGAAGCCAGGGGAGAUGGGAAGUACACCAGAGCAGGGCCCGAUAAGGGAGAAAAUAAGGAUGCUUUGGACCUCAGCGUCCCUGUCUUGAAAAUAGGAAGAACAAUUCAUGUCCCUUUCCACCCUGUGGAUAAAUGAGAACCCCCAAGAGAAAGUUUUCCCAGUUUCCCAGGUGGUCCCAGCUAGAGCGUGUAUCCCCUGAAGCUGCUGGGGCCCAGCUUGUGGGUCUCUUUGGAAGAAGCAGGACUGGAACAAAGGAUGAAAAGGAGCUUCACAUGGGUGUGAGAGGAGAGCUUGGAUCACAGAAGGCUACCAUCCCCGGCCUGGGCCCAGAAAGAGGAGGCAGCUGGGUUUACUCCUAAAUCAGAGACUAGGAAGGGAAAGUCAGCUGGGACCAUGGCUGCCUCCUGGGGAGAGUGACCCCCAACCCCAGCCAAGGACACGUUCAAGCUCAGUGUCAACACUCAGGCAUGAACCUCCAAGGGACCAGUGGGGUGGGAGAGAACGGCUUCAGCGACAACACUCAAAGGAGGCACUAGCAUUGUGCUGCUGGCCUGGGGGAAGGACUUGCUUGGGAGGAGAACUGCACGUAGGAGCUGGGGCAGGUGGAGGCAGAUCCAGCCCACAAGGGCAGACCUCUAGAGAGGGGCCAGGCAGACGACAGGCAACAACCAAAUGAGGUGAAGUUCUGGAAAGGUGCCAAGCCCCAGAGGAGUAAGGACCACUCUGGAAAAACAUUCCAAAGCCCAUUGCAUACCUGUAUUAGAGACCAGGGCAUGAUUCCAGGAAUAAGGUGACCACAUGUGUUCCAGACCCCAACCGAUGGUGGGUGUGGUCUUCAAAUGAAAGGGGGAGCUGAGAUUUGGGUCUGGGCUGAGAGGAGGAGUACACAGUCGGUCUGAUCUACCUCUCAUGGUUCCAUUGGCAAAAUGAUUCAUCAGUCAUCCUAUCUUUUCCUGGCAAGUUCUCACAAUGGCCUGUUAAGUAUUUCAACACAGUGUCCCAGGUAGUCACUACCUGUAGAUUAGAGCUGAUGUGGUUUUCAUCGCUGGCCUGGGGGUCUCGAGCUGGGCUUCAGGAAGAAUGUGGUCAGGGCCUUCGUGGUGCAACAAGGUAGCUCAAGACCUUGGAAAGACCCCCUGAGGGUACAAUGGUCCUUGCAGUUUCAGAUAAUGCUUUUAAAUAAAUUAUCUCCUAAUGAUGGCUUCAGUCCUGCCACUCAUGGGAGCAUCAGCAGAACCUACAGGAUCCGAUUUGGAAUUGACAUUCGCUGUUGUCAUUUUGUUCCUGCCUAUUUUUAAGGUUUUGUUUCACUGGAAAGAUAAUGCUCAGUUUUAAAUGUUGAAAGUAUAAGAGUUGCUUUGUCACAAUAAAACUACAUAUGUACACACACACCAAAAAAAAUGGUCAGGAUGUAUUUAUUUAUUCCUGAAAUAAACAUUUACAGAAU